AAUAUUGGACAAUGGGCGAAAGCCUGAUCCAGCCAUGCCGUGUGUGUGAAGAAGGUCUUCGGAUUGUAAUGCACUUCAAGUUGGGGGGAAGGGGUGUAGGUUAAUACCCUGCAAUUUUGACGUUACCAACAGAAUAAGCACCGGCUAACUUCGUGCCAGCAGCCGCGGUAAUACGAAGGGUGCAAGCGUUAAUCGGAACUACUGGGCGUAAAACGCGCGUAGGUGGUUCGUUAAGUUGGAAGUGAAAGCCCCGGGCUCAACCUGGGAACUACUUUAAAAACUGGCGAGCUAGAGUAUGGCAGAAGGUGGUGGAAUUUCCUGUGUAGCGGUGAAAUGCGUAGAUAUGGGAAGGAACACCAGUGGCGAAGGCGACCGCCUGAGCUAAUACUGACACUGAGGUGCGAAAGCGUGGGGAGCAAACAGG
rnacentral:rRNA from 1 species